rnacentral:rRNA from 1 species
AGAGUUUGAUCCUGGCUCAGGAUGAACGCUAGCGGCAGGCUUAACACAUGCAAGUCGAGGGGUAGAAUAGCAAUAUUUGAGACCGGCGCACGGGUGCGUAACGCGUAUGCAAUCUACCUUUUACAGAGGGAUAGCCCAGAGAAAUUUGGAUUAAUACCUCAUAGUAUAGUGAGUUGGCAUCAACACACUAUUAAAGUCACAACGGUAAAAGAUGAGCAUGCGUCCCAUUAGCUAGUUGGUAAGGUAACGGCUUACCAAGGCAACGAUGGGUAGGGGUCCUGAGAGGGAGAUCCCCCACACUGGUACUGAGACACGGACCAGACUCCUACGGGAGGCAGCAGUGAGGAAUAUUGGUCAAUGGGCGCAAGCCUGAACCAGCCAUGCCGCGUGCAGGAUGACGGUCCUAUGGAUUGUAAACUGCUUUUGCACAGGAAGAAACACUACCUCGUGAGGUAGCUUGACGGUACUGUGAGAAUAAGGAUCGGCUAACUCCGUGCCAGCAGCCGCGGUAAU